rnacentral:rRNA from 1 species
CCCUUAGAUGUUCUGGGCCGCACGCGCGCUACACUGUUUGAUUCAGCGAGUCUUAACCUUGACCGAAAGGUUUGGGUAAUCUUCUAAAGUCAAACGUGAUGGGGAUCGAUCAUUGCAAUUAUUGAUCGUGAACGAGGAAUUCCUAGUAAAUGCAAGUCAUCAGCUUGCGUUGAUUACGUCCCUGCCCUUUGUACACACCGCCCGUCGCACCUACCGAUUGGAUGGUCCGGUGAAGCCUCGGGAUUGUGGUUCUUGCCGCUUUAUUGUGGCGUGACCGCGAGAACUUGUCUAAACCUUAUCAUCUAGAGGAAGGUGAAGUCGUAACA